rnacentral:tRNA from 1 species
UCAGCAACUUAGUAAGACCCUAUCACAAAAUAAAAAAAAUAAAGGGCUGAGGGUGUAGUUCAGUGGUAGAGCACCCUUGUGUUUGACUUCAGUAACACCCCAAAAUGAAAAAGAAACAGCAGAAAGGACACAAGUGGAGCUGGGGUGCAGCUCAGGGGUAGAGCACUGGCCUAGCAUGUGCAAAGGCCCUGGGUUCCAUCCCCAGCCCCACAAAAAGAAAGAAAGAAAAAUACAAAGAGCAUGAUAUUUAUGGUCCUUUCUCUGAUUCUGAAAGUGAGGCAUCUACCUUUCUGAAUUGUGUUUCUAAGGCUUCACAAAGCAUGAAAUUGAAAGAGAAAUCACUGUCUCUGUAUCCCCCUGGUGACCCCCCAGUCUGCCCUUCCCCACUCCAGGGGGUGCCUUGCAAAUGAGGCCUCCCUGGAGGGGCUCGGCCUCUCCGUGGCAGCUCACCCAGGCUGGCUGUGCACAUGGUGGGAAUAUCUGCCGAGGUGGCCCUCGUUCCUGGCCACAAACAGGUUCUAUUUCUUUUUCCAUGAAAACAACUCAGUCCUAAGUCACAGAUGCCUGGAAUUAGAAAAAUCCGAGGCCCACAUUAUCAUAAAACAAUUUUAACACAGCGGGGCCCUCUCUGGGGUGGGAGGGGUGGCGGAGCCCCCCACAGCAGCCCCUUCCCUGGAAAUGCUCAGAGGGACGAGAAAUUUGGUUUUCAUUAGUGGCCAAUGUGAGGAGUCCGAAGCUCUGAAUGGACCUUUGAUUCCAGCUGGCCGUGGCCUCCUUCCAGGGCCCAGCGAGUUCUGUUUUGUUUUCCCUGUAGAAUGGGCCAGAACCUUCUACUUAUACUCCCCGACUACAGAGGGACUGGGCAGCCCCCCAACCUCUUGGCUUCUAAAGUCAACACUGGGCCGGCAGGAGGGGCACUCAGACCCCCGCCUUUAUGGACUGAGGGUUUGUUAAAAACGUUGUGUUUCCUUGAGGCAUGGCCAGACCCAACAAGGCCAGCCUGGAGGGGCGGCCAGCCAGCAGGGCCUUCGCCACCAGGAGAUAGCCCACCUCGGCCUCUGCUCCCACCCCAGCUGUCCCCCGAAAUGAUCUCUUGUGUAGAAUCUUCACAGAAAGCCCCACCUCUCCCCUUCUGUCUGCUUUGAGGGAAAGAAAGAACACGGGGCCAUCUGUUAUUCAUUCAACACAGAGUGGGUUAGCACUGACCGCGGUGCUGGGGGUUUGGGGUACAGCUUUGAAGACGGCAGACCUUGUCAUUGGUCCCAGGGAGCUGUCACCCUCAUUGGGGAGGAAGGUCAUAAGCAGAUAACUAUUUUACACUGUCUCGGGUCGUAAUAAAAAGUGAACAGGAUAAUGUGAUGGAGGAAGACUGGAGGGGGAGGGGCCCCGCAGUCUGGGAGCCCAGCAGCACAGUCUCCGUGGGACCUGGCCUCAGGGAGGUGCCCAGGUGGUCUGCUCUUACAUGGCAGGGACACCAGCGCACCUUCACAGCUGGGUCCAGACCACAGACUCUGUCCUCCAUCAUAAUGCCACGCCCAGGGACCAGCGUGGGUUGGUCCCCAGGAAGCAGAUCCAGAGUUGGGGUAGUGGGAUGGGGAAGCUUUCAGGAGGAGUGGACCAAGGAAGCCGGGAAGGAGCCAGUCCUUGCCCCUUGGGCGGGAGUCGCCUUGUUGGUUCUCCGGGGUCUCUGCAGCACGAAUCUCACUCCUGAGUUGCCCCCGUCCUGUCCCCAGCCAGGGAGUCAGCCUCAUGUGGCCCCAGGUCAGCCAGCCAGUCGGGACUCCCCUGUCCCCUGCAGGGGUGUGGCCUGCCUGGUAUGACGCCUGAUGCUUGGCAGAGAGCAGUCUUCAGAGGAGGGGCAGCGGCACUUCCCCGGUGUCUACACGACCAACCUGGGUUGUGUCUGUGGAAUGUCAAGACCAUCGAGGACCCUGCCACGGCUGCUGUCGGCAGUUCCUCAGACCCCUCUGGGCCCGCUGCCUCCAGGGCCCUGCUGCUGUGAACCCAGAGAGCAGGACGUGGCAGGAACCAAAGACCCCUUGGUAAGAGGCACAUGCAGCCCAGAGUAGAGGAUCAACCCCGUGGAGGGCGAGGUCCCCACACCGGGAAGAUUUCCAGAAGCCAGUGAUCUGAGACCUGCUUCACGCCCCCCCAAGAUGAAAGAGGGUGGCUCAUCCUGCACCUCCGCUGUGCCAGCUCCUGUUCUAGUCACCGGAACCCUUGCAGGAGAUUGGGUGGGAAGCGGGUGUUUGCAGAUGUGAUUAAAGAGCUCGAACAAGGAGAUGCUCUUGGACUGUCCAGGCAGGUCCUGAAUCCUAUGACAAAUGUCCUUAUAAACAAACAUGGAAGCCGGGUGUGGUGGCACACGCCUGUAAUGCCAGGACUUGGGAGGCUGAGGCAGGAGGAUCGAAAGUUCAAGUCCAGCCUCAGCAACUUAGUAAGGCACUUGCCACUCAGCAAGGACCAGUCUCUAAGUAAAAUAUUAAAAGGGCUGGGGACGGGGCUCAGUGGUUAAGCACCCCUGAGUUCAAUUCCAGUACAAAAAAAAAGGAACACCGAAAGGAGGAGGGACCGUGUGACCAAGGGAUGCCAGCAGCCACCAGAGGCUGGGACUAUGAAGAAGAGGCCUUUCGGGGGGACCACGGCCCUCCAGCACCCUCAUUUCAGACAUCCAGCCUCCAAAAUGAGAGAAUGAACUUCUGGGGUCUCCACCAUCCUCUUGGUUCUCUUUAAAUUUCGAAGCAGCAUAUACCGUGAUUAGGAGGCCACCCGCUUGUCCACUGGGAAUCCAAAAGCUGUUUUAAGACAGAGCAAGUGACCCCUGCAGCCACCCUGCUCUUCCAGCCUUGGGGUCAGGAAGGUCCACAUGCUGGAUGAGGAGACUGGGCAAAGACUUUGACAAAGCCCCUCAGAGGAGGCCCAGGGCAGACCUGCUAGAAUUUUCUGCAGCGGAGAACUCACCUCCUUUUGAAACAAUUUCUAGGGCACUGCUAGGCCCUGCAGAGACCCGGCCUGAGCACCAGAGGCCAGCAACUCGGCUCCCAGGGCCUCCUUCCUGUCAGGGCUGGUCAUUGUCAAACCCAUCUUGAUGUCGCGUCGCAGCCUGAAGGGACCAGCAGCCAGCCCGUGUGCAGUGGGAAGGACUCGCUGGUGUUUGGAGUCCCCUGGGCAGAUCCAGAGGGCACAAGCAGGUGCCAUGCAGACCUGUGCCAGAGCCCCGUGACCCCUACUUCUGUUGCCUCUACACCUACCCCUCAGAUCAGUGCUGAUGGUUGUCCUGUAAGACAGUCCCACACGCGACAGUCCCAAAUGUUGAAAUCCCCAGAACUCGAAAUUCCUAAAGUUGAAAUCACAAUCCCAAGAGGUUUGAAAUCCUGAAUGUUGAAACCCCAAAAGCCAAAACGUUGAAAACCACAAUUCCCACUAAGUAAUAAUAAUAACAAUAAAUAAAAAUAAGGAGUCCACAUAAGAGGAGCAGAAAAUCAAAUUCUGGGGAAGGGCCGGUGCCUCUGGGCUGUUUGCAGGGCAGCGGGGCACUCACUGGCUGGGAGGAGUUUCCAGGGGAAAUCGGCUGGCAACUCGGCUCCUGGUGGUGAAAACCCACCGGGAAAGCGGCCUGUCUUAAACGCCAGGCCCACAGCCGUUCCUGACCUGCACGUCUCAUGCCUCACGUUUUCUGUUUCAGUUUUUGUUACUGUUGUUGUUGGGCAGAGAUUUUUUUUUUUAGUCUCUUCACCGCUAUCUUAAAUUGCCAGCGCUACUUAUCCCUAGGUUUUACCCUGGCAUAUGUUUCAUGUUAGCAUCAUUUCCAGUCCUGGAGGAAUAAAUCACGUAGACUUUCAGAGAGUUCUCGUUCUCUCGAGGCACCCAGGGGUGCAGUGCACACCUGCAAUCCCAGCGACUCAGGAGGCCGAGACCGGAGGACCGCCCGCUUGAGGCAGAAUAGACAGGGAGGCUGACAGGCCACACCAUCGUCAUUUGUCCAGAAAGACUCGGGAAGACUCGUAUGUUCCAAAAGCCAAUUGGGAAGACGAAACCACACCUUCACCACCGCCUGGCCCUUAGGAGCUGUGACCCCCACAGAGGAAGGGAACCCAGGUCCAGGCGGGGGACGGCAGAGCCAUUAGUCUGGGCUGGAAAACAAUGUGCCAAGGCUUCUGAGGCUGUUUUUGGAACCGAAUCUGGCUUCACGGAGAGAUGCCGG